rnacentral:lncRNA from 1 species
AGACCUGCCAAGAGAGCAUUGCAAUAGUCCAGCCUGGAUAGAACAAGAGCUUGAACAAGGAGUUGUGUUGCAUGUUCUGAAAGAAAGGGCCUGAUCUUCAUAUAUAUAACAUAUAUAUACUGUUUAUAUACAGUGUAAUUGUCAGACUCUGUUCCAUGUUUUGUGUGUGUCCUGCUCCCCAUGUGCCUUCCCAUGCCCUUAUUUGGUUAGUUUCCUGUUCCUGUCCUGAUUAGUUUAUUUAAUUUGUCCCAGGUGUUUCCCUUGGUUUUAUUGCUCCCAGGUGUGUCUCGUCAUCCCCUCCUCCUGUGUGUGUGUAUAAAAUGUGUUCCCAGUCCCAAGUUCNNNNNNNNNNNNNNNNNNNNNNNNNNNAAGUCUUGGUGACGUAUUCUCCAGCGUCUCCUCGUUCCUCGUGUGUGUGUGCAACGUGACAGUAAUAUAAUAUACACUGACACUACGAGUCAGCAUUUUUUUGCAGUGGUGGAAAUGAGCUUCUAUACACUUUUUUUUUUUUUUAAAACCAGAAAAGGUUUUAGAUUUUAUUAUAAUGUUAAUAAAAAAAAAAAAAAACUUGUAUACUUUUACUGCUGUGUUUUUGUGUUUACUUGGUUUUUAUUUAGUGUUUAUGUAACUCUAGCCUUAGAUGCUGACUUGGCAAUAAAAUAAAUAACUACUACUCUCUCUCAGGAGCUGUGUAAGGAUGGCGUGGAGGCUGACAGCAGUCCUCAGUUACUGGUGGAUUUCUGGGAGGCUCUGUUAGUAGUAUCCUCUCAUGAAUCCAUCAUCCAGGAGCUGCUGUUUCGUCUCACGUCCGUCUAUAUCGACAGUAUCAUGCGCAGAGAUUGCUCCGGCGUCAAAGCCCUCAAAACUGCUGAGGAUCUGAUAAACUCCUGCUCUCAUUAUGGGAUGUUGUAUCCGUGGCUGAGCAUCCUGACGCCUGUCCACCAGGAGGACCUGCACAAACUUCAGGUGUGUCCUGAUAAAUUUCUUUCUUUCUGGCAAGCGACAUCAUUAAAUGAUUCAUAUCAAGGUCCUCGAGGAAGUGCAGGCAGAUCAGCUGAAGUAAAGGCCUAGUUUAACCUCAGCUCAGGAGAUAAUUC